rnacentral:lncRNA from 1 species
GAGAUGCAAAUACUCUGAAAAGAGUGAAUAAUAGUGUCUUUAGGUAUAUAGCUAAUUAUGGGAUAAUAUUAAGGUAUGAGAUGCACAUACUCUGAAAAGAGUGAAUAAUAGUGUUUUUAGGUAUAUAGCUAAUUAUGAAAUAAUAUUAAGGUAUGGGAUGCAAAUACUCUGAAAAAAAUAUAACAAAACUACACAUUGUAGUGUUUCCAUGUGGGUACCAUAAAAAUGGAAAAUUAAAACCGAAGUUGAACCAACCAAUGAGAGCAUCAGAAAAAAGGAAAUCAAAACAAAACUCCACCAGAAAAAAAUCUUGAAGAGGAACAUUAAUCUCUAG